GACGAACGCUGGCGGCGUGCUUAACACAUGCAAGUCGAACGGAAAGGCCUCUUUCGGGGGGUACUCGAGUGGCGAACGGGUGAGUAACACGUGAGUAACCUGCCCUUGACUUUGGGAUAACUUCAGGAAACUGGGGCUAAUACCGGAUAGGAGCUCCUGCUGCAUGGGGGGGGUUGGAAAGUUUCGGCGGUUGGGGAUGGACUCGCGGCUUAUCAGCUUGUUGGUGGGGUAGUGGCUUACCAAGGCUUUGACGGGUAGCCGGCCUGAGAGGGUGACCGGCCGCAUUGGGACUGAGAUACGGCCCAGACUCCUACGGGAGGCAGCAGUGGGGAAUAUUGCACAAUGGGUGGAAGCCUGAUGCAGCAACGCCGUGUGCGGGAUGACGGCCUUCGGGUUGUAAACCGCUUUCGCUCAUGACGAAGCUUUGUGUGACGGUAGUGGGUAAAGAAGCACCGGCUAACUACGUG
rnacentral:rRNA from 1 species